GAUGAACGCUGGCGGCGUGCCUAAUACAUGCAAGUCGAGCGAACAGACGAGGAGCUUGCUCCUCUGACGUUAGCGGCGGACGGGUGAGUAACACGUGGAUAACCUACCUAUAAGACUGGGAUAACUUCGGGAAACCGGAGCUAAUACUGGAUAAUAUAUUGAACCGCAUGGUUCAAUAGUGAAAGACGGUUUUGCUGUCACUUAUAGAUGGAUCCGCGCCGCAUUAGCUAGUUGGUAAGGUAACGGCUUACCAAGGCAACGAUGCGUAGCCGACCUGAGAGGAUGAUCGGCCACACUGGAACUGAGACACGGUCCAGACUCCUACGGGAGGCAGCAGUAGGGAAUCUUCCGCAAUGGGCGAAAGCUUGACGGAGCAACGCCGCGUGAGUGAUGAAGGUCUUCGGAUCGUAAAGCUCUGUUAUUAGGGAAGAACAAAUGUAUAAGUAACUAUGCACGUCUUGACGGUACCUAAUCAGAAAGCCACGGCUAACUACGUG
rnacentral:rRNA from 1 species